ensembl:lncRNA
ACACGCACGCACGCACGCACACACACACACACACACACACACACACACACACACACACACACACACACACACACACACACACACACACACACACACACACACACACACACACACACACACACACACACACACACACACACACACACACACACACACACACACACACACACACACACACACACACACACACACACACACACUCUCUGUCCUCUUUGAAGGGCAGACUUACACAUCCAGCUGAAGGACAACAGCAGGUCCAGUGCUGCAAGAUCAGAUUUUACUGUAAAUAUUGAAUAAUGAACUAGAGUUAUAUAAAGGAAAGACUAAGGAGACUCUAUUGUACGUUGAGAUAUAGCUGCUUUGACAAACUCAAUAUAAAGUGUGUGUGUAACUGCCUAAUAAACAAUAAUCCAACGUGAUGCUGCAGUCAGGAAACAUCCUGCAUGGUGUCAGUCUUACAGUGAGUGCGUAGCAGCAGGGGUUUACCCGCUGCUUGACUUGAACAGAGUCUGGUCCAGGCAGUGAUCUGAGGGAGCUUAAAUAUGGUGUAAUGGCCGGUAGCACACGUGUCAGUUACUGCGGCUCGAGCACAGAAGCUCCCUAGAGAUUUUGGCAUGUUGUGCUUUUUGGCCUUUAAAGCAAUACCAACCCAAACUAGCCUUCGCUGACAACAUCACAAGCUCUGCCGGGGAUGGACAUGAGCAGCAGCUGCUCGCCAGGCGAGGACUCGCUGGUUAUGCUGCACGCGUCAGGAUGUCCACACCUUAAAGCUACUGUACUGCUGAGACAGGGAGUCUCAGCAAGCCCUGAAGGCGGGCUCUGCAUUAGCCGCUGUGUUAUCCCUCGUGUUGCGCUGGGUGCAGGCAUGUGCACACCUCCAGUCCCAAGGCUCCACACACAAGCACGCCGUGUCGUCACCUGCAGCUGCACUGGUCCCGACUGGCUGGACCUGUCAUGGCAGCGCCCGCGUUGCUUCCCGCUGGGGAGACACUAUUAAUUGGUCAUUUGUUUUUUCACCUGUCUGGGGCGCUUAUGUAACCGGCAAACUGGCAACGAGGUCACGGCUCCUCACGCAGAGGCCAACGUUGAUCCCUGAUCCGCCUGCUGUUUGCGAGCCUGACCUGCUGAGGGGGUUAUGAAACGCUUUCUAUAUUGGUGUAAUUAUGUGUUGACAUUUGAGCAUCAUAAAACACUGAUAAGUACACAGGUGUAUUGAAUAUGUAAUUAUGUAAUGAUGUUUAUCUUGCAUUAUUUGUAAUUGAAAUUCGCUGAGUGUCAGUUCCUGAACCCUGUAAAACAAAGGCCAUGCGUGCUGUGAAAUCUGACCUACUGGCUGAAGAGCGUCCUUGGAUUAGCAUUUAUUGCCAUAACCUCUGUCAUUACAUUCAUACCAGAGAUUUUAUGGAGAGAAGUCACCCUCAUUCAGACGCCGCUGCCUGGAAUCUGAGCAAGGUGCUAAGAAGCCUCCCGCCACACCCUAAGCAUGUUGUGAAACAGUUGCUCUGUCAAAGUGACAAUGCAACUUGUGUUACAUCUCUCACACCGGCAGAACCAGAUGUGUUCAAAUGGAGAAAAUCAUUAACAAUACGCAGAAAAUGAAACACUCCUGACAGAUUAUGACCUGAUUGACUGUAACCAGGUUUUAUCCUGCCUUGUCUCAAUCGUUUUACUGCAGAUUUCACUUCAGUAAAACAUUAUGUAAUAUUCAUAAUUCAGGUUCUGGGAAUUUUUUUGGUCAUUUGUGAAAUGUCCUUUAGAUCACAUGCACAGAGGAGCUGGACCACGAACUCCACGGGGGAGUCUGAUCCGUGGGGUUUGGCCACUGCCUGAGUGCACGUGAGAAACCACACAGAAAAUUCCUUGUGUUGUUUUUAAGAAAUGAACUCAAUGAAUUCACUUCUCAGACAUCACAACAAUUGAACCUGUAAUCUCUUAAAAAGUACGAGCAUCAUUAUUUGAAAUGGACUAGAGAUGUGUAAAUGCAGUGAACUAAAUUG